CAGAGGAACCUGACACUCUACAGUCCAUAGGACCACAAAGAGUUGGACAUGCCAGAACAAGUGAGCGUGAACGCACGCCUCUGAGCAACGAAGUGGCCUCCUCCUUCCUUGGUUGUGGCAUUAUCCUGCUUGUGAGAAGAUUAAGAUUGUUUCAGAAAGAACAGAAAGAGGAGAAAAGAGCUAAUGUGUUGAAAUUCAAAAUAGGAUUUUUCAGCAAAACAAUAGACUUGAAAUUGCACUCACAGAGAAAUCAUUUUCUGUAUUCAUUUAGCUCCUAUUUAACAUAAUCAAGAUCGAGCUCUAUGUCCAAGUUUCUACAAAACGGAGAGGUAAUUUAAUCUCUGAUUUCUGAUUUCAUCACCUGUUCAUGAUGGUAAUCAGAGCAUCUACCUCAAAGGACGGCUUCCAAAAGGGGCUCCUGUCUUCUGAAGUGGCAACCAGAGCCAGAAAUCAAGGGUAUGAUAUGAAAGGAACGCAAGAGAAGCCACCCCUUCUAGUCUUGGGGAUUGAAGAAGAAAGCCAGGAGGUGACAGUGAGAUAGACAUCAAAGAGGCUUCCCUUGGGAGUGGGGGAAUGGCUUCAAAACUGCCACAAAAUAGAAGAACUCAUUGAAGUCGGUACAGACUGGUGUCCAGUGCAGAUACCUGGGCAAAUCAAGGUGAACCGGCAGGGAGACAGAGAGUAGUUUGCAGUUUUAGUUCUUUCCUUGAUGGUAUUGAGUUGAGAGCCGUGGGCCUGCCGUGGGCGUGGUGUGCAAGCAAGAUGGUGAAUGAGUGUCAGAGAUGUAACGUUCCGACAGCUUGGGUUGGGGGCUAGGUCGGGGAUAUAGGAGACAUUCAGGGAGUCCACUGGGUUCUCCAGAGCCACAGAGAGGUUGGAAUAGCCAGGGAGUAUGAGUGAGAUCAGAUCCAGCCAUAAGAGCUGCUGUUCAGUUGCUAAGUUGUAUCGGACUCUAUGUCAUCCAAUGGACUGCAGCAUGCCAGGCUUCCCUGUCCUUCACUAUCUCCUGGAGCUUGCUCAGACUCAUGUCCAUUGAGUUGGUGAUGCCAUCCAACGCUCUCAUCCUCUGCUGCUCUUCUCCUCUUGCCCUCAAUCUUUCCCAGCAUCAGGG
ensembl:lncRNA